rnacentral:rRNA from 1 species
CCUACGGGCGGCUGCAGUCGAGAAUCUUUCACAAUGGGGGCAACCCUGAUGGAGCGACGCCGCGUGGAGGAUAAGGUCUUCGGAUUGUAAACUCCUGUCAUGCGAGAACAAGGUUGCAGGGCUAACACCUUUGCAAAUUGAUGGUACCGCAAGAGGAAGAGACGGCUAACUCUGUGCCAGCAGCCGCGGUAAUCCAGAGGUGUCAAGCGUUGGCGGGAAUCGUUGGGCGUAGGCGGUGCGAGUCAGAUGUGAAAGCCCGGGGCUCAACCUCGGAAUUGCAUCCGAUACUGCCAUGCUGGAGUACUGAAGAGGUGACUAGAAUUCUAGGUGUAGCAGUGAAAUGCGUAGAUAUCUAGAGGAAUACCAACGGCGAAGGCAGGUCACUGGGCAGUUACUGACACUGAGGCACGAAGGCCAGGGGAGCAAACGGGAUUAGAUACCCUUGUAGUC